UUAUGUUUUUUAAUUAAAAUUUUUAGUUAUUUUUAUAGUUGAAAAAAAAAAAAAAA
rnacentral:ribozyme from 1 species